rnacentral:antisense_RNA from 1 species
ACAACUGCAGCGAGAGAAGAGGCUGGCAGCAUGGGUGGCAGGAGGCUUGGCAGCCUCACAGGAUGCCUGCAAAUACCUUUCACUUAUGCAGUUUGGCAGUGCAGUGGUGCAUGGAGACAGCGUCUUGGGCCUGAGAUGAACCAUCCAAUCUCCUGCCUCGAGUAUUGAAGCCUGGCUACUGUGACUGUGGGGAAGGGAUUAAUGGUCUCAGCAUUCAGUCACAUUUCAAAGGCCAGAUCUUUCCCAGGGCUUAAGCUGUUCCUUGGAUACUUUUGCUGAUGGUUUACACAUCUUCUUCCCACAUUAUAUUGUAACUUUCUU